rnacentral:rRNA from 1 species
GACGAAGGAUGCAAGCGUUAUCCGGAUUCAUCGGGUUUAAAGGGAGCGUAGGUGGCCUUAUAAGUCAGUGGUGAAAUCUCUGGGCUUAACCCAGAAAUUGCCAUUGAUACUGUAGGGCUUGAGUAUAGAUGCCGUUGGCGGAAUAUGACAUGUAGUGGUGAAAUACAUAGAGAUGUCAUUGAACACCGAUUGCGAAGGCAGCUAACGAAACUAUAACUGACACUGAGGCUCGAAAGUGUGGGGAUCAAACAGG